rnacentral:piRNA from 1 species
UAAUGGAUGACUCAGCUUUUU